rnacentral:tRNA from 1 species
AGGUGACUAGUUUAGUAAAAACAUUUGAUUUCGGCUCAGAAGCUUGUGGUUAAAGUCCAUAUUCACCUA